AACUUUUAGAGGAUGACAGAUAUCCGUUGGUCUUAGGAAUCAAAAAU
rnacentral:tRNA from 1 species